UACGUAGGGUGCGAGCGUUGUCCGGAAUUAUUGGGCGUAAAGAGCUUGUAGGCGGUUUGUCGCGUCUGCCGUGAAAAUCCGGGGCUCAACCCCGGACUUGCGGUGGGUACGGGCAGACUAGAGUGCGGUAGGGGAGACUGGAAUUCCUGGUGUAGCGGUGAAAUGCGCAGAUAUCAGGAGGAACACCGGUGGCGAAGGCGGAUCUCUGGGCCUUUACUGACGCUGAGGAGCGAAAGCGUGGGGAGCGAACAGG
rnacentral:rRNA from 1 species